AGGUUCAUUGCGAUCCCAAGGUUCACUGCGGUUUUCCACAAGCCUGUUUCUGCCUAUCACCAUGAGUGAUUCCUCAAUACUCAGAUUUAUCAUCAAGAUCUCAAUUAUAAGCUCAAGUUUUGAUGACAACUUGGUAAUCUGCAGAAAGCACCACCAUGUAAGGAAGGCCAAGACCACUCUGGAAUCAGUCAAGGGAUUGCAGUGACCAGACAUGCUACUGUAACUCUCAUGGUCAUGUGCUAGAAUUAGCAGGUAUUCAACAAUUUGGCCAUCUCGCUGACCUAUUGAUAUCAGAAGACCACAACAGCUCUGCAAAGCAAAUUGGAAAACAGAAUCCAUGAAACUGGCAGUGACCGGAAACCAGUUGGAAGACUUUGGUCUGUGACGUAGAGGAGUGGGCAGAGGUAGCAGAAGCAAAGACAACAAAAAGAAGAAGUGAUGUGGAUGUCUUCGUCAUAUUGCAUGACUCUGCUGACCCAGCAACAAAGAGAGGGUGUUCAACAUCAUCCUGCUAGUCAGGAUUCUUCAGGAGAAGCAGUGGAUUCUUGUGGCAGAGAUGGUCAACCACUAUAAAUACCUUUCAACUCAUCCUGGUUCUUUCAAAGAACUUUCCUGCUUGUUUGCUACUGAAAAGUACUGAUUCGACAUGUGGCCUUAACGAAGAGGGGUUAAAAGGUCUUUGGAUCAUCAUUCUCAAAAAGCAACAAAAUAACUGAGAAAUAAACAACAAUACGAUGGUGCAAUCUAGAGACCUGCAAGGUACCUGCAAGUUUUGGCUGGAGCAGAGAACAUAGAUUUUUUUAAAUAAAGCUCCAGCUGAUGAGUAUGACAUUGACUGUGGAUUUUCUUUUACUGUAAUCCAGAAGAGGAUGACCUUAACCCUGAA